CUCUGGAGACAGUCUAGAUUUUAUGCAACUAUGAUUGGUGAAUAUUAGAGUAAAUCUUUUCUCCCAAACUUUCUGUGAAGGUCAGAAACAGAUCAUUUAUAGACAAUGGACUUUAAGUUUACAAAAUUUAAAAUGCAACACUGAUAUUUUCAGAUAUCUCUAUAAAAGAAAUGAAAUGGUCUGAUUUUCAACCUUCAAUCAAUCCAUAAAGGAUAAAAACCAUGUGUUACUCAAUUUGAUUCUCUACUGCCUAGCAUAGCCGAUGGCUCAUAAUGGGCACUCAAAUACUUGCUGAAUGAAUAAAAUGAAAUGCAGUGACAUAGACUUUUCAAAGCUACCUCUAGCGAGAGAGAAAAAGAGAGAAAAUGUUCAGAGAUGGCUUCUGGAAUACGAUCCUCCAUGACUUCAGACAAGAUCAGGCACGUUCAAGGUGGUAUGGUCAUAGACAAGAUCCUCCAGGACUUCAGAAGAACAUUUUUUCCAGGGAAAGGAUAUCUGAUUUGGACUCUAAUAAGAGAAGUUAGGAAGAACUAUUUUUUAAUAACCAUGUUGACCAAAAGAAUGCAGCAAACAGAAUGCUAUGAAACUUCUGAGGCCAACAGUUACUGCUCUUGGAUUUCUAUUGCAAAUAUUCUCCCUCUUUUUUGAGCCAGCAUUCAAAUAGCCUUGACUAAGAUCAUGUACAAUUUAUUAACAAUUUAGAUUUCUUUUAGAUAAGAGCAGACAGAAUGGUGAGAUCUCUGGGAACUAUGGCACUACGAUGAGCACUUCUUAUUGACAUUAACAUAGCACAUGACUCAGUGGUUCAACAUUUUUUAAAAUUUUUUUCAAAUAAAAAUUAUAUAACAUAAUUUUUAAGUUUUAAACUGUAUUAGUAACUACAGGCAAAUUUCAGUCCAGAUACUAUAAGCAUAAGUAACAUACAGCAAGUAUCUAAUAAAUAUUUAUUGAAUAGAAGAAUAAAUUUCACCCUUUAUAAUGCCCGUCAAAUUUACCAUCUGCUCUCCAUCUCCACAGCAACGCCCUGAGUCUGGGCCCUUAUUUCCUCUGCAUCUGCUGAUCACACAGCCUUCUGGCUCCUGAUUUCUUCCCUUUUCCAGUGCACCAUGCAUGUUGCUGCCAUAUAAUCUUGCUGAAACUUCUUUUCUCCUGAACACACCAUGACAUCAGACCUCACAAAUCUUCUACAUCAAACUUUCCCUAAAAUAUGGUCAUAAUUUACCUAUCCAAAUUUUACUUAACACUAUUCUCCAAAAUAAUCCAUGCCACUCCAGGCUCCAUGUCUUUGCCUAUGCUUCUCUUCUCUACCUUCCUUUCACUCCUCAGCUUUUACACCCUACCUAGGAAAAACUUGGGGCUCUUAUUAAUGAAAUGCAUGCAUUGGCAAGGUAAGCUGCCAGGAGAGAACUGGCACUGCAUCUGUGAACCAAAACAGCAUCAUCUGAUUAUUUUAAAGACUGAUUGAUGCAGAUAAUCUUGACUUAGAAAACCUCUUAUUAGAAUGUUAUAAGAAAUCUUAAAAGUCCAUUAAUAUGUUAUGUAUUUCACUAAAUAUAAAAAUAUCACAAACAAAUUAUUUUACAUUUAAUAUUGGGUAAAAAUCUACAAGAGCAGUUAUUGCUGAAAUAAAGCUUUCCAAAAUGUUUGCACCACCUUUUACAAAAUAUAAUUACAGCACAUACUAAGUGAUUCAAGUAUUACCUCAGUGAAUCAAACUUCAGUAAGCCCUGAUAACUAACAUACAAAUGAUAAAGUUUAUGUUAACAGAUUUUAAGAGAUCAGUGUAAAAGUGCUGAACUAUAAUAAUUACCUCAAUCACAUUCAUUAACAUGAUUAUCACACAAUUGCAUAUUAAAUAACAUGGUGAUUAGAAAUGCUUUCUACAUAUUCACUGAACAGGAUGUCAAGUCGACAGCCCGUUCAUAUAAUUUAUCCAGACAGUAGGCUGGGCAGAGUCAGAGUAAGAGCAAAGAAACAGAAGUAGCAAAAACAAACAUAGAAUGGGAGGUCGUAUAUGCAAAAAGUCAAUACUAGUAUAUGUUCAAAUUGCAACAUUAAUAAUUCAGCAAGCCCUUGAUUGCCUGCUGAGUAUAAUGCAAAGUGUUUCUAUUAGUUUGCACCAUUAGCAAAAGAAUAGUAAAAUAUGAUCUGUGUCCUCAAGGCAAUUGUAAUCCAGAUGGCAAAGGAAAAGCAGGGAAUAGACGAGAGGAAAAUAAGUCAAGGUAGCACCUUACAUUUUCUAGACGAAUAAUUGCAAGGGCCAUCAUGAGAAAAUUAUCAGAAAUACACAAAAUCAACAAUGAAAAGUUUAAAACAAGGGUUCUGCUCACUAUGCAACUAUAAAAGAUUAUAAAAAUUCCACCAAGAAAGAAAAUAAAACAUACACAAAAACUAUCAACACCUAGGGAGAAAACCGAUCUCCCAUCCCUGCUAAUAUUUUUCUUUACGGGAGAUUUUUUUAAAUGGCCACACUUAAAUCUUUUCCACAUAAUUAAAAUAAAUAAUCAUCCUUCUCACUGCUGCUAUCCCACUCUUCAAAAGAAAAUACUGUUAACUUUAUAUUAUUUCAAACUUUUUUCUACACAUAUGCUAUAUAAUCAGCA
rnacentral:lncRNA from 1 species